GUUUAAAAUCUGGUGACAUUUUCCUUAAAAUGCGCCUCUCUGCGUCCUCCGCUGGCCUUUAGGAGGGCUGCGCCCCUUCGGAGAGCUGCUUUCAUGGCGCACAGAAAGCAUCUGACUCACUGUACACACAUAAUUCAAUUAGCCACACAUGUGUGUGCAUUUAUGUCUACAUGGUUGUGUGUGUCUGCGUCUCCUUUGAAGCUCCUUUAUUCCCAGUAAAGCAAAGAAGGGGACACGUCUGUGGACAAUAUAAAGCAAACAAAGAGGGAGAAAUGAAAAUCACUGGGUGCUUUGUUCUCGUCUCUCUGCUCCAACCGAGCGCUCUCUGACCGCAGCUGAGCUUUUCCAUGUUCCCUGACUUUCCCUCUCGCGUCUCUCGCUCUGGUUGUCAUGGAUAGCCCAGCAACGUGGAGCUCCCAGUGCUGACCAGCGGGGCCGCAGAUUGAGCCUCCCUGCCCCCCUACCACACCCUGUCCGCCCCGCGGAGAGGCAGAGAAGCCUUUAAGAUCGGCCCCCUGCUGGGGCUGCUGGAGGCGGGAGGAGGAGGACGGACUUCUUUUCUCUCUCCAUCACCUCAAUUGUCUCACCCGCAAACCUUCAGCCUUCCCUCCAAAAUGAAAUGAGCAAGAGACUGAGGAUUUCCGCAGCUCACGUGGCGUCAGCUGGACGACGACAGAAUGCGAGCUAUCAAAGCCUGGAGUUCCUGAGGUGAAGAGGCACAGAAAGUCUAUUCUCCACUGCUGAACAAAGUGCUGCUGAACAUGGCUCCUCUGCAUUGUGCUGCUUCCCCACCUGCCACCUGCGAACACAGUUCAUGUUAUAUUUAUGUAGCCUAAAGCACACUCUCUCUCCCCGCCUGCCUUAAUCCCUCUGCUGCCUCUCGUGUCUCUCUGCCUGUCCUCAAAUCUCAUUCUUUUACACUUUGUAUCGCCUUCUUUUAUUUGAAACAAGUUCAUGUGUGACCGACUAAAAUGCUAACGCGAAGCUGCAUCGUUUAUCUGCUGUUAACAGAAAGAAGAUCGUUUUUCUGCAGAUGCACUGCAGUCGCCUGCAUUAUUCCUAACUAGUUUGAA